rnacentral:rRNA from 1 species
UACGUAGGGUGCGAGCGUUGUCCGGAAUUAUUGGGCGUAAAGGGCUCGUAGGCGGUUUGUCGCGUCGGGAGUGAAAACACCGGGCUUAACUCGGUGCUUGCUUUCGAUACGGGCAGACUUGAGGCAUGCAGGGGAGAACGGAAUUCCUGGUGUAGCGGUGAAAUGCGUAGAUAUCGGGAGGAACACCUGUGGCGAAGGCGGUGGUCUGGGCCGGCACUGACGCUGAGGAGCGAAAGCGUGGGUAGCAAACAGG